UACGUAGGGAGCGAGCGUUGUCCGGAAUUACUGGGUGUAAAGGGAGCGUAGGCGGGAUGGCAAGUCAGAUGUGAAAACUAUGGGCUCAACCCAUAGACUGCAUUUGAAACUGUUGUUCUUGAGUGAGGUAGAGGUAAGCGGAAUUCCUGGUGUAGCGGUGAAAUGCGUAGAGAUCAGGAGGAACAUCGGUGGCGAAGGCGGCUUACUGGGCCUUUACUGACGCUGAGGCUCGAAAGCGUGGGGAGCAAACAGGAUUAGAUACCCCUGUAGUGCUGACUGACU
rnacentral:rRNA from 1 species